UAAGUUAGAAAGGGCGCACGGUGGAUGCCUUGACACUAGGAGUCGAUGAAGGACGGGACUAACGCCGAUAUGCUUCGGGGAGCUGUAAGUAAGCUUUGAUCCGAAGAUUUCCGAAUGGGGAAACCCACCAUACGUAAUGGUAUGGUAUCCUUAUCUGAAUACAUAGGAUAAGGAAGACAGACCCAGGGAACUGAAACAUCUAAGUACCUGGAGGAAGAGAAAGCAAAUGCGAUUUCCUGAGUAGCGGCGAGCGAAACGGAACAUAGCCCAAACCAAGAGGCUUGCCUCUUGGGGUUGUAGGACAUUCUAUACGGAGUUACAAAGGACGAGGUAGACGAAGCGACCUGGAAAGGUCCGUCGUAGAGGGUAACAACCCCGUAGUCGAAACUUCGUUCUCUCUUGAAUGUAUCCUGAGUACGGCGGAACACGUGAAAUUCCGUCGGAAUCUGGGAGGACCAUCUCCCAAGGCUAAAUACUCCCUAGUGAUCGAUAGUGAACCAGUACCGUGAGGGAAAGGUGAAAAGCACCCCGGAAGGGGAGUGAAAGAGAUCCUGAAACCGUGUGCCUACAAAUAGUCAGAGCCCGUUAAUGGGUGAUGGCGUGCCUUUUGUAGAAUGAACCGGCGAGUUACGAUCCCGUGCGAGGUUAAGCUGAAGAGGCGGAGCCGCAGCGAAAGCGAGUCUGAAUAGGGCGUUUAGUACGUGGUCGUAGACCCGAAACCAGGUGAUCUACCCAUGUCCAGGGUGAAGUUCAGGUAACACUGAAUGGAGGCCGAACCCACGCACGUUGAAAAGUGCGGGGAUGAGGUGUGGGUAGCGGAGAAAUUCCAAUCGAACCUGGAGAUAGCUGGUUCUCCCCGAAAUAGCUUUAGGGCUAGCCUUAAGUGUAAGAGUCUUGGAGGUAGAGCACUGAUUGGACUAGGGGUCCUCAUCGGAUUACCGAAUUCAGUCAAACUCCGAAUGCCAAUGACUUAUCCUUAGGAGUCAGACUGCGAGUGAUAAGAUCCGUAGUCAAAGGGAAACAGCCCAGACCGCCAGCUAAGGUCCCAAAGUGUGUAUUAAGUGGAAAAGGAUGUGGAGUUGCUUAGACAACUAGGAUGUUGGCUUAGAAGCAGCCACCAUUUAAAGAGUGCGUAAUAGCUCACUAGUCGAGUGACUCUGCGCCGAAAAUGUACCGGGGCUAAAUACACCACCGAAGCUGCGGAUUGAUACCAAUGGUAUCAGUGGUAGGGGAGCGUUCUAAGGACAGUGAAGUCAGACCGGAAGGACUGGUGGAGUGCUUAGAAGUGAGAAUGCCGGUAUGAGUAGCGAAAGACGGGUGAGAAUCCCGUCCACCGAAUGCCUAAGGUUUCCUGAGGAAGGCUCGUCCGCUCAGGGUUAGUCAGGACCUAAGCCGAGGCCGACAGGCGUAGGCGAUGGACAACAGGUUGAUAUUCCUGUACCACCUCUUUAUCGUUUGAGCAAUGGAGGGACGCAGAAGGAUAGAAGAAGCGUGCGAUUGGUUGUGCACGUCCAAGCAGUUAGGCUGAUAAGUAGGCAAAUCCGCUUAUCGUGAAGGCUGAGCUGUGAUGGGGAAGCUCCUUAUGGAGCGAAGUCUUUGAUUCCCCGCUGCCAAGAAAAGCUUCUAGCGAGAUAAAAGGUGCCUGUACCGCAAACCGACACAGGUAGGCGAGGAGAGAAUCCUAAGGUGUGCGAGAGAACUCUGGUUAAGGAACUCGGCAAAAUGACCCCGUAACUUCGGGAGAAGGGGUGCUUUCUUAACGGAAAGCCGCAGUGAAUAGGCCCAAGCGACUGUUUAGCAAAAACACAGCUCUCUGCGAAGCCGUAAGGCGAAGUAUAGGGGGUGACACCUGCCCGGUGCUGGAAGGUUAAGGAGAGGGGUUAGCGUAAGCGAAGCUCUGAACUGAAGCCCCAGUAAACGGCGGCCGUAACUAUAACGGUCCUAAGGUAGCGAAAUUCCUUGUCGGGUAAGUUCCGACCCGCACGAAAGGUGUAACGAUUUGGGCACUGUCUCAACCAGAGACUCGGUGAAAUUAUAGUACCUGUGAAGAUGCAGGUUACCCGCGACAGGACGGAAAGACCCCGUGGAGCUUUACUGUAGCCUGAUAUUGAAUUUUGGUACAGUUUGUACAGGAUAGGCGGGAGCCUUUGAAACCGGAGCGCUAGCUUCGGUGGAGGCGCUGGUGGGAUACCGCCCUGACUGUAUUGAAAUUCUAACCUACGGGUCUUAUCGACCCGGGAGACAGUGUCAGGUGGGCAGUUUGACUGGGGCGGUCGCCUCCUAAAGUGUAACGGAGGCGCCCAAAGGUUCCCUCAGAAUGGUUGGAAAUCAUUCGUAGAGUGCAAAGGCAUAAGGGAGCUUGACUGCGAGACCUACAAGUCGAGCAGGGACGAAAGUCGGGCUUAGUGAUCCGGUGGUUCCGCAUGGAAGGGCCAUCGCUCAACGGAUAAAAGCUACCCCGGGGAUAACAGGCUUAUCUCCCCAAGAGUCCACAUCGACGGGGAGGUUUGGCACCUCGAUGUCGGCUCAUCGCAUCCUGGGGCUGUAGUCGGUCCCAAGGGUUGGGCUGUUCGCCCAUUAAAGCGGUACGCGAGCUGGGUUCAGAACGUCGUGAGACAGUUCGGUCCCUAUCCGUCGUGGGCGUAGGAAAUUUGAGAGGAGCUGUCCUUAGUACGAGAGGACCGGGAUGGACGCACCGCUGGUGUACCAGUUGUUCUGCCAAGGGCAUAGCUGGGUAGCUAUGUGCGGAAGGGAUAAGUGCUGAAAGCAUCUAAGCAUGAAGCCCCCCUCAAGAUGAGAUUUCCCAUAGCGUAAGCUAGUAAGAUCCCUGAAAGAUGAUCAGGUUGAUAGGUUCGAGGUGGAAGCAUGGUGACAUGUGGAGCUGACGAAUACUAAUAGAUCGAGGACUUAACCA
rnacentral:rRNA from 1 species